rnacentral:rRNA from 1 species
UGAGGAAUAUUGGUCAAUGGGCGAGAGCCUGAACCAGCCAAGUAGCGUGCAGGAUGACGGCCCUAUGGGUUGUAAACUGCUUUUAUGUGGGGAUAAAGUGCGUGACGUGUCAUGCAUUGCAGGUACCACAUGAAUAAGGACCGGCUAAUUCCGUGCCAGCAGCCGCGGUAAUACGGAAGGUCCGGGCGUUAUCCGGAUUUAUUGGGUUUACAGGGAGCGUAGGCUGUCUAUUACGCGUGUUGUGAAAUUUACCGGCUCAACCGGUGGCUUGCAGCGCGAACUGGUCGACUUGAGUAUGCAGGAAGUAGGCGGAAUUCAUGGUGUAGCGGUAAAAUGCUUAGAUAUCAUGACGAACUCCGAUUGCGCAGGCAGCUUACUGUAGCAUAACUGACGCUGAUGCUCGAAAGUGCGGGUAUCAAACAGG